CGGGACGGGUGAGUAAUGUCUGGGAAACUGCCUGAUGGAGGGGGAUAACUACUGGAAACGGUAGCUAAUACCGCAUAACGUCUUCGGACCAAAGUGGGGGACCUUCGGGCCUCACGCCAUCGGAUGUGCCCAGAUGGGAUUAGCUAGUAGGUGGGGUAAUGGCCCACCUAGGCGACGAUCCCUAGCUGGUCUGAGAGGAUGACCAGCCACACUGGAACUGAGACACGGUCCAG
rnacentral:rRNA from 1 species